UCCAUCUCCUCGUUCUCUCAUCGAACGGGCAGCAGCCUCCGCCGCCUUCCCGAUUCUCACCAUCAACGAUCCCGUCUCCCUCUCUAUUCUCACGGCGAACGGCAAAAAUUGCCGCCCCCUUCUCCUUCGAUCCGGACAGCAGCAGCCCUUCAGCCCCUGUCGCCGCUCUCCCUGCUUCAACCCCUCCUAGCCCCGACUGAACUCACGCCACACUAACACGCACAACAAGAAUCAAACGCAGCAGGAUCGAAGCUGUAAAGACUGAAGUUUUAUCAAAAUUAAAGGGUUCGUUCUUCUCUGUGUUUCUUCAAUUCCUUCACAAAAGUCCAGCUCAAAGUAUAAAUGUAUUCUCUCUGCUUAUAUAAAGUAUAGAUGUGAAUUGAAGAGUAUAUAUAUACACAUCAAUUAUGAAGUCCUUGUUUCGGGUAUGAUUUCUGUAUAAAUGUCGAGGCACAAGUUUGAUGAUAUCGUCUGUGAUGAUUUUCGUUGGUUUUGUGUGUCAUUAAUAUUAAUCAAAUAACCAAGCAGUAACAGAUCAAAGAGUAGCAAAAGGAGUAGAUUAUGUAAAGCUAUGAAGUUAAAGGUGAAACCUUGGUGUGGUUUUGUUUGAGUUUUCAGCAAAAAUGUAUGAAUUAUGCUUAAGGUCUGAUUUGAUGAGAAAGACAAAAGGAAAGUGAGUAAUGGAGCCUGAACCUUUCUUUUUCUUCUAUUUCUUGAGUAAGUCGUACUUUGUUUGUUGCCUUGUGGAAGAUAUUGGAGUGAGAUAUGGAGAAAAAUGACCCGAAUGAUCGGGAGGAAAUGAGGAUGAUUGGUGAUGGGUGAUUGGUGUAAAGGGUGUUUCUGCAGUAAAGAAUGCAGAAUGAAAUGGUGAUUGGGGUAAAAGAGUAGAGAAUUUAUGGAAGGUAAAAAGAAACGUGGCCUUUUGGGAGCCAUAUCUCAUAAACAAGAUUUGGAUAAUUAAACCAUCAUUUGAAUAUAACUAUGAAAAUAUCUAGAUUUCUUUCUCCUUUCCACGUGAUUCUUUUGACAAAAGGAAUUGGGCCUUUGGGCAAAUCAACAGAUGGGGCUUAGCCCACUGGCCACCGGGUCCUCACUUAAGUGAAGUGACCCGGGUUCGAUCUAGGGCUGGG
rnacentral:lncRNA from 1 species